UGUCUCAGUUCGGAUUGGAGUCUGNAACCCGACUCCAUGAAGCUGGAUUCGCUAGUAAUCGCGCAUCAGCCACGGCGCGGUGAAUACGUUCCCGGGCCUUGUACACACCGCCCGUCAAGCCAUGGAAGCCGGGGGUGCCUGAAGUGCGCUGCCGCAAGGAGCGUCCUAGGGUAAAACCGGUGACUGGGGCUAAGUCGUAACAAGGUAUC
rnacentral:rRNA from 1 species